rnacentral:lncRNA from 1 species
AUCAACGCAAACAGCAACAACUUCAACAAACAACAGCUUCCUCACCCCAAAAAUUCACGAACAGUAAUAUAAGUCGUCCAAGUCAAAGACAGAUCUUAUCCCUGCGAAAUCCCCUCGAAUCUGCUGAGAUACAAUCUUCAAAAUCUCUUCACAUCUGAUAUCUUAAGCCUUCAUUGUUGACUUUAGGCUUAUUGUUGCCCAAAAUUCAAUCUUAUGGCAGAAUCAUCAAUCAAAUUCGGAUUAUGGAGAUAUGUUUUAUCUCAUCUCAUUUCAGCCUAUGUCAAAUCUGAAAAGGGGUUAAAUUUGAAAUUCAAAUUGAUUGUUUUUUACUAUAAAUAGCCGAACUUCCACCCUUUGAGAGGGAGCUUUUUUUUUAAGGUCUAAAAUUGAAAGAAAAGAGUGAAAACUAGUGAAGAAAGAAGAAUCAUCAGAAAAGCCAUUGAGUCAGUAUCAAAAUAUCAUCCAGUUCCCAGUACUUUCCUCCUUGUUUUCUUACUUUCUUUCCAAAAUCGAAGUUCGAGUUCGUGUUUGGAUCUCCAACGGAAAGCCCUCUAGUUCGCUGCCCUCCACCAGGUAAAUUUUAUCCCGUCUAACUUUAUUAUAGUUAUCUUUCGAUAAUUCUCUGAUCGUUUAAGUCUAUUAUUUCUGUUUGGCCAAUCAUAAGCAUAAACCUAAGAUGAAAUAGCGUCUGGCUAUUUUAUUUCGUUCGUCGUCUAAUGUUUAGAUAUUUUAGUUCGUGAUUUGGCUCGAAUAUUUUAAACUAGGAAGUCUCGAUUAAAGUAUAAUGCUUUAUCUUGGUUGGCUGUGAAUGCAUAUUUGAAGCACUUAUGCAUUGCUUAGUUAUUCGGGUUGUUAACCGUUCGUUUUGAAGAUGAAAUAUGUGAAAUAAUAAUCUAUUUUGGCAAUCUGAUUUACUCAAUUCGGUCGCUGGGUGGGUUUGUUUUUGCCUUUAAAUGUGAGAUAUUAUGUAGAUUAGAGUAAAUAAUGUGAUUCAGAAAGGUUAUGUCUGGUCGAAAAUAAAGAGUAUGUCGACCUACUACGUAAAAUUCAUCUCGUUAUCUCGUAUCUGUCUUUUUCUAACCCAUUGGCUUUGUUCUAUGAAUACGUGCUUUGUUUUUGACUUCAAACUAGAUUGAUGCCUUGACUUUCCUUUAUAGUUGUUUUACGUCUAAACGUAUGGGUUCACUUUUCUGUGUCACCCUCACCGUCUUUUCUGUUAUCUCGUCUAGAUUUCAUGAAUAUGUCAUUUUGGGUGAAUUCCGACCAAAAUUUGAAUUGUUGUUUUAGACUCUAAGAAAUGAUGUUGUAUGUGAAUAUAUUUUCAGUGAAAUGUUGCUUACCCCGCUUUUAGUAUCACCUGCGAGUCAAACCUAGAUUCAUCUCAAGUUUAUAUGGUUUUACUGUAUGUGUCCGUUUCGUAUAUAAAAUUCUCCAUACAUGAAGAACCCACUCCCCUUUUGCUGUUUAUUGACGAAUAUGACCUUGUGGAGACAUGGAAGGCCAUGCUCCGUUAGGUAUCUUGUCGUUGCAUCCUUUACUUUUUAAGUUAAAGAGCAUAAUCUGUUUUCCUCGUUAGUUACUACUGCCAUUUUUAUUUUUUUUCAAACUUCGCUGCUCCUCUUCUUGUUUUCUUUGUUUUAGUCGUUUGUUCCCGGUAAAGUAAGGCAAUAACAAUGACAUUCAUUUCUUAUAUUUCGUAAUUGCAUUUUGGUACUUGGUGUUUUACCUUUGUUUAACUAACAUUUUAAAAAUGUCCUAGCCGGAAACAUUCCAAGGUGCACAACUUAUUGUCCCAUGCCUUAUAUAUUCUUCAACAUCUAUUUGUAACUUUAUAUCUAUAGUGGCAGGAAAAUAUUAACCAAGUUGCAGAGAUUUUGUUUGUCGAGGUAAGCUAUAGACAUCUUUAUAUGACAACAUGCUCCUCUGAAAGUUUUACUGUCCAGUGAAGGCCUUUUGCGCCCUAUUUGUCAUUUUGUAGAGUGAGUUUUAAAGGGGUAAGUGAGCUGCCCCGUCUUGUUCUGUUCAUUACCUAUUCUAUCUCGUUUUAUACCAAGUGGGUUAUACGCAAGUAAGUAUGUAAUGUAUGUAGUUACUUGAGAAUAUGGGUCAAAACAUUUUACUCUCUUGCUUACAGAUUAUAGAAAAUAGGCGCGCAAGAAGUAUCUUCUGCUUAUUGAUAUGGAGAUUUUUUUGGGGUGCUUUAAAUUACUUGUCCUUUUUUUUUUUUUUGAGCUUUCCGAAUCUGUCUACUGAGUUCCAGAGGAGAAUCUGCCGCACUGGUAAUGUAUUGUUGGGUUGUAUUGAUGAUUAUUAAAUCAAUUAGCCAAGGAUAUUAAAAUGCAUGUUAUGUGUUACCCUUUGUAGAUCAUGUGUUUUUCUUAUCUAUGCUUUUAUUAAUUGUGACGCAAUAACAAAAGAUAUAUACCCAUGGAACAAAGUUUAUACUUAAGCGUAUUCUUCACUGUUGGGGCAAUUUUAUAUAGCUAUGAACACCUUGGCUGGCUUCAUGUCAAAUUUGAUGUAGUUGGUAGUUUGCUUUCAGCUUAUGAUUAGUUAAUAUGAGAUACUUCAUGUCUUUGUUUAAUUUCUCUUUUGAAUGUGUUCAGAAUCUUUUCUUUUCCAUAUCCUGUUAGAAAAAAAAAAAAAACAAUAAAUAUGUGACUAAAUAGCAACGAUUUAGGAAUUUUCAGCCAAAUCGGUUUAAGAUUAAUCGCCUAUGAUUGAAGCAGUGUAUUAUUUGUCUUAAAGUAUUGGUUAUACUUCCUCUACGUGUUUAUUUUUACCAUGUUCUUUAUCAAAUAAAAAAAAUCCGCUUUGGUAUGUUGUGUGUCUCAAGUAAAAAGGUUAUUUUAAUCGUUAGAGAAACUUGUGAUCGUGAUAUAAACCAACCAUGUUUCCCGUCUAAAUAAAUGAUUCUUUGCAGAUAAAGAUACUUGUUGCAGACACCAUAUUUAUAGAUUUAUCUUCUUGACUGAAGUUGUUAAAUUGAAACCUUAUUUAGCAUGCUACAUCUAGGCUUUCGGCGGAAAGUGUUUUUCCUCUUUUUCCUUGUACUAUAGCUUUAUUAUCGUAUCUUUUCUUAGAAUUUAUAGUCACAUAUAGAAGUUAACAUGACAUGAAAGAUCCUUUGGUGCUAAUAUAGUAUUUCAUAAAGAGUAGUUUCGGUUCCUUUCUGUUUCUGUGCAUAUUCAUUCUAUAGUUUUUAUUUCUUCUAUUCUUUUAAGAAGUUCACAUCAUAUUCCUCUCAAGUGAAGAAUAAUUUUCUCAUUUCUAAUCCUUACCUUUUUCUGUCUCAUGUGAACUCGGAAGCGUGUUUGGAGUCUCAUGGCUUGACUCCAUCUCUGUCCAAAUCAGAGAAGCGAUAAUAGGCUAUUACGUGUUUCGUCUAAACAGGCUAUGUUGUUUAAAUAGAUUUACAUUUACCUAAGUUAUCCGCACUUAUCCGCACCCCCCUACAAUUGGUAUCAAAGCCAAUGUUGUUUAAAGUUAUAGAAGUAGUAUAUAUUUGGACUUAUUUGAUUAAUUUAUUAAUUAUGAUAAAAUUAGAUCUAGAUAUCCACCAAAACAUUAUUUAUAAUAUUUGCUUAGAUGAAUAACGAACAAAAAUUACAAAAAUUUAAAGAAUUAAAACAAAUAAUAUCUGAAAAACAUAAAGAAUUAAAAAUAAGGAUAGAAAGAUUACACUAUAACAUAAUUGCCAGAGUUAGUAAAGAAUAUUAUUAUAAAGGAACAUAUAAUAUAGAAGAAAGUAAAGAAAUAAGAAGAGUAUAUUUUAGUAAAUUGUCCGAACUAUUAGUUCAAAAAUAAUAAAGAGUUGGGAUGAAGCAAAAAAUAGUAGAUACCCUAGGAGCAAGAAUAAUAUUUUUACAACAAUGAUAUAGAAAUAUAUGUGAAAAAUAUAGAGAAGAAAUAAAAAUGGAAAAAACAUUAAUAAGAAAUUUAACAUGUUGCAAAGAUAAAAUAACACCUCAAUUUGGAUGUGAAGAAAGAUACUAUAAGAAAAGAAAAAGACAUAAGAAAUAUAAGAAAUACAAAAAAUCAAAAUAUAAGUAUAAGAAACCAAGAAAAAAAUAUUAUGUAAAAAAUUAUAAACAUAAAAGACCAUAUAGAAAAAAAGAAAUCUAUAAAAGAAUGUACUUGUUAUAAUUGUGGAAAACUAGGACAUUUAGCUAGAGAUUGUAAAUUAUCAAAAAAUUCAAAAAAUAAACGAAUAUCAGAAAUAAAAAUAGAAAAUACAGAAUAUAUGCAGAUAGAUUAUAUAGAUUAUGAAUUAGAAAGUGAAGAUAGUAUAUAUGAAAUUUCGGAGAAUGAAACAGAUAAUGAAAUAGAUAGUGAAUUAGAUGAAUCAAAUGACUGAAGAAGAUAUCAAAAUAAACCAAAUAACUGAAGAAGAUAUAAAAAUAAUAACAGAGCUAGUAUACCACUAGUAACAAAGAGAAUGAUUAAUAAAGAAAUAAACGAUAUAAAAAAUAAGGAUCCAAUAAAAUAUGUACACCUUGGAGGUACAAAGAUAUUAAUAAAAGCAUGUUUUAGAGAAGAAAUAGAUACAUCAAUAGAAUUAUAUGUAGCAGACGAUAGAAUUAUAAAACCUAUAGAAAAAAGUAUAAUAACUGUCAUAAAAGGAAAUUUAAUAUACCAAAAAUUUAAAUUUAUUAUAAGUGCGAAUUAUUCAGCAGCAAUAACAGAUAAAAAUAUAGAUAAAUCAUUAGUAUUAUAUUGGAAAAUAUCAGGAAUAGAACUAACCCCAGAAAGCAAGAUGUAAAAAUCUAUAUGUAUUAACAACAAAACAUAAAAUAACAGGAAAAAUAAAAUCAAUAAAAUACAAAUAGAAAGUCCUUUUGAACAAUUCGUAAAAACAACUGAUAAUAAUGAUUAUAGUUACAAAAAUAUAAACAUAGAAGAAGAUUUAGAAAUAAUAAAUGACAGAAUAAGUACAUCAAAAAGAAUAGGUCGUGAAAAAUCAGAAUUAUCAAGUUCAUCAAAACGAACAAGUUAUGAAACAAUUUCAACAGUUAAUUUAAAUCAAUAUUACAUAACAGGAACAAUAAAUGAAAAAGAAUAUUUAAUACUCUUAAACACAAGACAAGAAGAAAAUUAUAUAGCAAAAUAUCUAGUAAAAAGUGAAGAAAUAAAAUCUAAUAGUAAUAUAUGUCCAGAUCUAUCAAGGAGUUUAAUAAACAUUAAGGAUACGGCAGAAAAAGAAAUAAUAAUAGGAGUUAGAAAAAUAAAAAUAGAAUUUGAAAUAAAGGAAGAAAUUUAAAAAGCAGGCAUAAUAUUAGGAAUAAAAUGGUUAGAACAUGUAAAACCAUACAAUAUAGAACAUACACAAUUAUCUAUAACAUAUAAUAAAGAAAGAUUAUUCAUAAAAAGAACUAUAACAUGAUAUGAAAUAUAUGUACUUGUAAAGAUAAUAGUAGAGGGAUAUUAUAAUAAGUAUUAUACACCUAUGAUAGAUACAGGAGCAGAAGCAAACUUAUGUAGAUACAACUGUUUAUCAGAAAAUAAAUGGGAUAAAUUAAAUAUAUCAAUAGUAGUCAAAGGAUUUAAUAAUGAGGGAAGCUUAAUUACAUAUAAACCUAAGAAUAUAAAAAUACACAUAUGGGAUAAAAUAAUAACAAUAGAAGAAAUUUAUAAUUAUGAACUUAACAUCAAAAGAUAUGCUUUUAGGAAUAUCAUUUUUAGAUAAAUUAUACCCACAUAUAACAACCAGAACACACUGGUGGUUUACAACACCAUGUAACAAAAAGUAAGAGCAAAAAGAGUUAUUAAUAAAAUAAGAAAGAAAACUGAUUGGAUAAAAGGAAGUGAAAAAAUUACACAAAAGUUAGAAAAUAUAAAAAAAUACAGAAAACUACUAUAAAAAUUGAAUUAAUAGAUAAGAAUAGCAUAAUAACACAAAAACCAUUAACAUAUAAUUUUGAUGAUUUAAAAGAAUUUAAAAUGCACAUAGAUGAAUUAUUAGAAAAACAAUAUAUACAAAAAAGUAAUAGUAAACAUAAUAGUCCAGCAUUUAUAGUAAAUAAACAUAGUGAACAAAAAAGAGGAAAAAGUAGGAUGGUUAUUGAUUAUAGAAAUUUAAAUGCAAAAACUAUAACAUAUAAUUAUCCGAUACCAAAUAAGAUAUUAAAAAUAAGACAAAUCCAAGGAUAUAAUUAUUUUAGCAAAUUUGAUUGUAAAUCAGGAUUUUACCACCUAAAGCUAGAAGAAGAAUCUAAAGAAUUAACCGCAUUUACGGUACCACAAGGAUUUUAUGAAUGGAACGUGUUACCCUUUGGAUAUAAAAAUGCACCAGGUAGAUAUCAACAUUUUAUGGAUAAUUAUUUUAAACAAUUAUCUAAUUGUAUAGUAUACAUAGAUGAUAUAUUGUUAUAUACAAAAACCAAAGAAGAACAUUUAAAAUUAUUAGAACAAUUCACAGAUAUAAUAGAAAAAUCAGGAAUAAGUCUAAGCAAAAAGAAAGCUGAAAUUAUGAAAAAUCAGAUAGAAUUUUUAGGAAUACAAAUAGAUAAAAGUGGAGUAAAUAUGCAACAACAUAUAGUACAAAAAAUAAUAAAUUCAAAAGAAGAAUUAGAUACAAAAAAAAAAUUACAAUCAUUUUUAGGAUUAGUAAACCAAGUAAGAGAAUAUAUAUCAAAAUUAGCAGAAAACCUAAAACCAUUAAAGAAAAAAUUAAAAAAGAAUGUAGAAUAUAAUUGCAAUGAAGAAGAUAAAAAACAAGUUUAGAAAAUAAAAACACUUUGUAAAGAAUUACCAAAAUUACAAUUCCCAGACGAAAAUAAAAAUUUUACAUAUAUAGUAGAAGCAGAUGCAAGUGAAUAUAGUUAUGAGGAGUACUUUAAAUAUCGAUACGAAACAGAAAAAAUAGAACACCAUUGUAGAUACUACUCAGGUACGUUCAACGAGACAGAAAUAAAAUGGGAAAUAAAUAGGAAAGAAUUAUGUUCAUUAUAUAAAUGUUUAUUAGCAUUUGUAUUAGCCUUUAAACCAUAUAUUGUAUAUAACAAAUUUAUUGUGAGAACAGAUAAUACCCAGGUUCGAUGGUGGUUAACAAGAAAAAUAUAAAACUCAGUUACGAUGAAGAAAUUUCAGAGAUUAGUAUUGAAUAUAUUAAAUUUUAUAUUUACGAUUGAAGUAAUCAAGACUGACAAGAAUGUUAUUGCAGAUUACAUAUCAAGACAAAGCUACUCAAACUGAUUUACCAAUGGAAGAAGCUGAUGUCAAAGAUACCCAAACAGAAUUAAUAUUACAAAUGUAAUAUCACAAAUGAAGUUAUUACAAGAACGAGUUAUCACAGGAAGAGCACAUUAAAAAACUAGACCUAGAAGGUGAUGAUGAGAAACACCUAAAAACUCAAAUUACUAACGAAAUUUACUGUUACAGCUGCAAGUGCAGGUGAUGUUUCCAAGGAAAAAAAUAUAGUCACUCAAAAUAAACUUGAACCACCAAAGAAAAAUAAUUAUAAUCUCAACCAGAUAUUCUCAAAACCACAUACACCAAAUAUACAAAAAGCAGAGUCAUCUAUACCUCCCCAGAUACACACAUAUUCCGAGUCACUCAAUCAACAGAAACAAACUUAUAACCAUAUCACUCGUAAAUAUAUUGAUAAUAUUUCUACUUUACAAAAAUGGUUAAAUACAAAACCUAUCCAAGAUAAAGAUUUAGCAAAACAACACCAAGGAUAUAUUACACAAAAAUGUCAGAACUAUAACAAACUUAUUGCUUUGCCUGGCACCAGUGCAAAUUUAAUUUCUUCAUGUUACUAUUAUGGAUUAUUAUCUACGGUUUACACAAUUACUGGAGACGAAUUAACAAGAAUUUCAGAUAUUCACAAAAAUUUUAUGGAUUAUAAAAGGAUUACGAAGGGACAGUUAUUUCUAUGUUUGCUUCUACUCAGCACCAGCAGAAAUAUUGUUUGAUGAGAUAGAACAGACAAUUAUUGUUGUCAAGAUAGGAAUGACACGAGAAUAUAUUAUUCCUAAAGACAUAUGCGAACAAGAAGAGAUAACCAAAAAUCAGAUAUCGGACUUUUACCGAAACAAGAGAGUUAUUGGACUUAGCAAUAUAUUGACUGAGUUAGCAAAUAAUUAUAUAAAUCAAAACCCAGUUUUGAUUUACUGCAACAGAAAUCAAUUAUUUGUUUACUCUACUUGUAAAAAUAUUAGAGAAAAUGAUAGAGAAUAGAUAAGAAAAUAGAUCAUGACAAUCCUAAAAUCAGAAGAGUUACCAGUCACAAGAUCUAUUACAAAAGGAAUUAUUUCAGAAGAAGCUGUGGAUCAAUUUUGUAAACAGAUUGGCCAAAGAUACGAUGACCACAGAUGCAGCAAAUGUAGUGGCAGACACAACUUUAUUCCAGAUGUGAUGCUACAAUAGCAAGAAGAUAAGAAAGCAGCAGAUACGACAAGGAGAAGAUAGCAAAAAGAUAAGCCACAGAACAAUAAUGGAAGCAGCCAAGAUAUUCAUGGAAGAAAGUGACAUAUGAAGAUAGAAAGAGACAUAUUGAGAAAAGAUGAAUUAUCUUUACGUAAAGAAAUUAUGUAGUAGUAUAGCCUUUGAUUUUUUGUCUUGUAUAGCUUUAUAGGCUUUUUGACUUUCUUGUACAAUAAUUAUUAAGUAGAUAGACUUUUUGUAGAAAGAUAUGUGUAAAGGAUAGAAACAGCGUAAAAUAUUCAUUUUUCCUUUAUAAAUAAAGGAACCGAAGGCAAAUGAAAGGUAAGCCUUCAUGAGUUGAAGCAAAAACCCUCUCUUGUACAAAAAACUUUUGAAUUCUUUAAUAAAAACAAGUAUAUUUUCAAGGAAAAGUUAUGAAUCACCAAACAGCUACGAAAAAUCUAGAAUUAUCAGAUUUACCAGAACAGGUAUUUAUAUUUAUGAUUAUGAAUAGCUAAAUUCAUAAAUUCCUGACAAUCAUGAUAUGAUAAAAUAAGUUCAUGUUAGUUACUUUAUAGUAGAAUUAUUCGAAGAAUAGUAUAUUAAGAAGUUUAUUAGCAAAGCGGAAAAGAAGAAAAAUUCCUAAGAACUAUGCCAUCCUAAAGGUGAAAUCGGUGAGGCAAGAAAGCCGUGAUAGGGGAGUAGCCAGAGUACAGGCGCUGUUUGAGGAAAAAGUAUCCAGAUUACCAUGCUAAUAGUGACCGAAGAACAUGUUAUUUAAGAAUAAUCUAGUAUAUAGUAAUCUAAAAUGAUCAUAUUUUGUUAUGUGUAUGAUUGCAGGGAAUAUUUUGAAAAAAGCAUCAUAUAAAAAAUGAAUACUUAUUUAUCUGACGAAAUGGUAGAUAAAUUCAAAAUAUUUGUUUUGUAUAUACCUAAGGAUAUAGAAAUUAUAGAUAUAAGAAAAAUCAUAUUAGAAAAAAUAUUUGAUAAAUAUUUUAUGACUAGAAUUAAUUAUAUACCACACCUACCUAACUACUCUUACAAAUACUUUCAUACCAAACCUACACAUCAACCAUGAUAAAAUACAUAAAUUAAAAAAUGGAUAUGAAAAAUAUACAAUUAAUAGAAAAACUAAUGAAAACAAAUUUAGAAGAAUAUAUGAGAACUAAAGAUAUAAAAUAUAUAAAAUCCUUGAUAAAAAUAUAAAGGAAUUAUUAAGAUUAAAACAAAUAAUUAAUAAAUACUAUGAUAAAGCAAUUAAUUACUAGAAUCCGAUUCCAAGUUAUCCAAGUUAUUCGUAGAAACCUAAGCAUUAUAUGAAUAAUAUGACAAAAUAUAUAUCUGAUGAAACUAAGAUACUUGUUUUAUAUAUCAUAAAAGACUUAGAAUUAAAAGACAUAAAGAAAAUAAUAUGGGGAAAAAUAUUUGAUUUUGAAGAUGAGUUACUAAGUACUAAUUUGAUAGAAGAUGAAUUAGAAUAUAUAGAUUUCUAUGGUAGAAAUUAUUAUUCAGAUAGCUAUUAUUCAGAAAAUAUAGUUCUUCGCCCAAAGUCUUUUUUUCAUCCUCUUUGGUCUAAGAGGGACAAGCUGUUGACACCCAAUUUUUGACUCUCCCUUUCAUAAAAUUAAUUUCUCGAUGCUUAGGAUUUCUGAACAUUUAAAUAUAUGUGUAUAUAUAUAUAUAUAUAUAUAUAUAUAUAUAUAUAUAUAUUUGAUAAAAUUAAUUAAAGCAUCGUUAAAUUAGUUAAGUGAAAUCGACUAGGGGUGAAUUAAAUUAAUUCAUUUUUGGGCCUUUCUUUUCUUUCAGUUAAAUUGUAAUCCAAACAACCAAAUGCCCCAACUUCAAGACCCUUCACCUCAGGCCCAAUUUUGAUUAAUCUAGAUGGCCCAACAACAAUUAAAAUCCUCAUCUAUUCUAAUUCAACUCCAACAUAUCAGCCGAAUCUUUUUUUACCCAAUAGAGCAAUCCAGCCCAAGACCCUCUAAUCUUUUUUCCCUUUAUUUGGUUGUUAUCCACAACCUCUGCAAUAUCAACGCAAACAGCAACAACUUCAACAAACAACAACUUCCUCACCCCAAAAAUCCACCGAAUAGUAAUAUAAGUCGUCCAAGUCAAAGACAGAUCUUAUCCCUGCGAAAUCUCCUCGAAUCUGCUAAGAUACAAUCUUCAAAAUCUCUUCACAUUUGAUAUCUUAAGCCUUCAUUGUUGACUUUAGGCUUAUUGUUGCCCAAAAUUCAAUCUUAUGGAAGAAUCAUCAAUCAAAAUUGGAUUAUGAGGAUAUGUUUUAUCUCAUCUCAUUUCAGCCUAUGUCAAAUCUGAAAAGGGG